rnacentral:rRNA from 1 species
AAUGUCAGGGCUGCACGUUAUUAACGUACAGCUUUUCUUCCCAAUUGAAAGUGCUUUACAACCCUAGGGCCUUCUUCACACACGCGGCAUGGCUGCGUCAGGCUUUCGCCCAUUGCGCAAUAUUCCC